rnacentral:rRNA from 1 species
AAACGUAGGAGGCGAGCGUUAUCCGGAUUUACUGGGCGUAAAGCGUGUGUAGGCGGUUUGAUAAGUUGGAUGUGAAAGCUCCCGGCUUAACUGGGAGAGGUCGUUCAAAACUGUCAGACUUGAGAGUGGUAGAGGGAGAUGGAAUUCCGCGUGUAGUGGUGAAAUGCGUAGAUAUGCGGAGGAACACCAGUGGCGAAAGCGGUCUCCUGGCCCACUUCUGACGCUCAGACACGAAAGCUAAGGUAGC